rnacentral:piRNA from 1 species
UAUUAACAUAUUUUAAUAGGGCCUAUUAUU